rnacentral:rRNA from 1 species
UCUGAAUCUGCGUACGGCUCCGCAAACCAGUUGUAAACUAUAGCAAGCAAUCCUGCGGGUGGCUUCGGCUGCUCGUGGGUAACAUGGAUAACCCUGGUAAUUCUGAGGCUAAUACAAGAACGUACUCCCUGGCUGACCGGCAACGGAAGGCUGGGGAGCGUGCAACGUAUCGUAGGGAUAAACCGGGAAUGGGUGCACGCUUGGACCGCGCUAAAGACAGAUCUCGGCGAGCCUUCGGGUGAGCCUUGGCCUGAGCGGCUCUUGCUGUGUGCUUCUGACCUAUCAACUAGACGGCAGCGUAAGGGACAUGCUA